AUUGAACGCUGGCGGCAUGCUUUACACAUGCAAGUCGAACGGCAGCGCGGGCUUCGGCCUGGCGGCGAGUGGCGCACGGGUGAGUAAUGCAUCGGAACGUGCCCAGUAGUGGGGGAUAGCCCGGCGAAAGCCGGAUUAAUACCGCAUACGACCUGAGGGUGCAAGCGGGGGAGCGAAAGGCCUCUCGCUCUUGGAGGGGCCGAUGUCGGAUUAGCUAGUUGGUGGGGUAAAGGCUUACCAAGGCGACGAUCCGUAGCUGGUCUGAGAGGACGAGCAGCCACACUGGGACUGAGACACGGACCAGACUCCUACGGGAGGCAGCAGUGGGGAAUUUUGGACAAUGGGGGCAACCCUGAUCCAGCCAUGCCGCGUGCGGGAAGACGGCCUUCGGGUUGUAAAGCGCUUUUGUUCGGGAAGAAAUCCUCUGGGCUAAUACCCCGGGGGGAUGACGGUACCGGAAGAAUAAGCACCGGCUAACUACGUG
rnacentral:rRNA from 1 species